UAUUGUACCUUUGUAGAUUGC
ensembl:piRNA 21ur-3430 ncRNA